rnacentral:rRNA from 1 species
UACGAAGGGGGCUAGCGUUGCUCGGAAUUACUGGGCGUAAAGGGUGCGUAGGCGGGUCUUUAAGUCAGAGGUGAAAUCCUGGAGCUCAACUCCAGAACUGCCUUUGAUACUGAGGAUCUUGAGUUCGGGAGAGGUGAGUGGAACUGCGAGUGUAGAGGUGAAAUUCGUAGAUAUUCGCAAGAACACCAGUGGCGAAGGCGGCUCACUGGCUCGAUACUGACGCUGAGGUGCGAAAGCGUGGGGAGCAAACAGG